rnacentral:lncRNA from 1 species
CUUUUCUCCUGUGUUCUGUCUGAUGGUGGCACCAAUGAGCAACGGAAUAACCAAAAGGCACCUGGCAAAAAGCUCUAGGCAUUCUAACUCUAAAAGGACUGAUGAAGACGCUUUUCUGACUACAGACAGAAGGACUCCCCGUUACUGAAUGUUUUUAAUGUACCAUCUGCAUUAUAUAAAUUGUCCCAUUAAUCCUCCAAACCAUUCUAAGAGGACAGGUUUUGCCUUAAGUUAUCCAGAUGUUGCAUGGUGAGGUGAAGGAUUCCAACAGUUUUGUUCGUUGAGAAAAGCAGAAUCCUUUUGUUUUUCAUUAACAAUGAGAAUGAAUUUUCCUAUUCCAUCAAGAUUUCUAUGUGGCCAUCUCUUCAGGACAUAGGUAUCAGCUACCGUUUUAAAUUUAGGAAAUGCACACACAUAUGCAACCAACCACAUAAUGUUUCCAAAGCAAUAUAUUGAGAUUGAUACAAAUACACAUUUUUCAAGAAUCCUGGACUAAUCCCACACUACUCUGAGCCUUCUUUACUUUUUAAGCCUCUUUAUUUCUAUUAUAUGACUGUGAACUAAGUAGAUUUAACUUUUGU